rnacentral:rRNA from 2 species
UACGGAGGGUGCGAGCGUUGUCCGGAAUCACUGGGCGUAAAGGGCGCGUAGGCGGUCCGGUAAGCGUGUGGUGAAAGCCCGGGGCUCAACCCCGGGUCGGCCGUGCGAACUGCGGGACUGGAGCACUGUAGAGGCAGGCGGAAUUCCGGGUGUAGCGGUGGAAUGCGUAGAGAUCCGGAAGAACACCGGUGGCGAAGGCGGCCUGCUGGGCAGUAGCUGACGCUGAGGCGCGACAGCGUGGGGAGCAAACAGG